rnacentral:rRNA from 1 species
AUGGCAGAAGCCAGCAGAGAGGCCAGCGGCGCAGCGCCUCCACCUCUCCACGUGGUGGUGUUCCCAUGGCUAGCGUUCGGCCAUUUCACCCCCUUCCUCGAGCUCUCGGAGCAGCUCGCCAGGCGCGGGCAUGCCGUCACCUUCGUCUCCACGCCGAGGAACGUGGCCAGGCUGAGGCCCGUCAGCCCCCGCAUCCGCCUCCUCCCCCUGCUCCUGCCUUGCGUCGACGGCCUCCCGGACGGUGCCGAGUCGACGGCCGACGUCCCGCCAGAGACGGUGGACCUGCUCAAGGUGGCAUUCGACGGCCUCGCCGCCCCUUUUGCCGGCUUUCUUGACGAGGCUUGCGCCGGCGGCGACGGUGCGACGGAGUUCGGCAAGAAGCCCGACUGGGUCUUCGUCGACUUCGCACACUACUGGCUCCCGCCCAUCGCUGAGCAGCACAAGGUACCGUGCGCCUUGUUCCACAUCAGCCCGGCGCCGUUCGUGGCCUUCAUCGGCACCAAGACGGCCAACGACGCGCACCCGCGGACGACGGCGGAGGACUUGAUGGCGCAGCCGCGGUGGAUCCCGUUCCCGACCACCAUCGCCCACCGUUUUCACGAGGCCAAGGACAUGCUAGUCCAGACGUUCCGCGCCAACGCGUCCGGCCCGUCCGACGCCUGCCGGCUCUGGCAGACGGAGCAGCGCUGCCCGCUCGUGAUCCUGCGCGGCAGCCGCGAGGUCGACGGCCCGCUCGGCCCCUUCCUCGCCGACCUCUUCGGCAAGCCCGUCGCCCUCUGCGGCCUCCUCGCCCCAAACGACGCCGCGCUCGCCGCCCAAGAAGGAGCCGCCCAUGUCGACAACGAGAGCGAGAGCGAGAGCGUGAGCCUCAUGCGCUGGCUGGACGAGCAGCCGGCGAGGUCGGUGAUCUACGUCGCGUUCGGGAGCGAGGCGCCGUUGAGCCGCCGCCACGUCCGCGAGCUCGCGCUGGGGCUGGAGCUCGCGGGCGCGCGGUUCCUCUGGGCGCUGCGGGGGCCGAGCGCCGCCCUGCUCCCGGACGGGUUCGAGGAGCGCGUGGGCGGGCGCGGCGUGGUGCGUGCCGGGUGGGUGCCGCAGGUGCGCGUCCUCGCGCGCCGCGCGGUGGGCGCGUUCCUGACGCACGCCGGGCUGAGCUCGCUCACGGAGAGCUUCCUGUUCGGCCACCCGCUGGUGAUGCUGCCGCUGUUCCUGGACCAGGGCGUGAGAGCGCGCGGCAUGGUGGCGAGGGGCGUCGGCCUGGAGGUGCCCAGGGACGAGGGCGACGGGUCGUUCGGCAGGGACGACGUGGCCGCGACGGUGCGGCGGGUGAUGGCGGAGGGCGAGGAAGGGAAAGCGUUCGCGCGCAACGCCGGGGAGCUCCAGGCGGUUCUCUGGACAGAGCGAAGCAGGACGAGUACGUCGACGAUCUGCGCCUGUGAUGCUGCCUCAGCGAGGCUGGAUGGCUGGCCUGCUUCUCGUGGGCAGUGA